rnacentral:misc_RNA from 1 species
CAAACCAAAAGCAUUUAAGAAACAUAUAUGUUUGUUAAACAUAUCUUUUAUCUGUCCCGAGGAAGGUUUUUACCAAUUCACUCCUGAGGGCUUGUAGCUCAGUUGGUUAGAGCGCGCGCUUGAUAAGCGUGAGGUCGGAGGUUCAAGUCCUCCCAGGCCCACCAAUUUAUGAUCGCUGAUAAAGUUUUUUGCGAACGUUUUGAUAGUCUUUUGUGUUGCACUUUUAAAAGUUAUUUGAACUGUUUUAGGGGCCGUAGCUCAGCUGGGAGAGCACCUGCUUUGCAAGCAGGGGGUCGUCGGU